rnacentral:lncRNA from 1 species
UUGUGUCUCCUCCAUAGAUGGAAAACUCUGCCACGAAAUCAAGAACCUUGUUUCUUUCCAUUUACCAUUUCUCUAAUGGUUCUAAUUCGAUUAGUUUUAUUUGAACAGCUCGUGAAGUUCAAAUUGAAGAUGAUAGUUGUUUGUAUAUCAACCAAGGACUGGCAUUCAGAUUAACCAGUGUUUUUAUGCAUAUUCACAUCAAAAAUUGUGUGAACUUGAUAAUAUAGAUUUAUGAGCCCUGACAAAAUUUUGGAUGUUUCAUGCUGGCCACCGGGGAAGGAAUGCUGUAGAAAAGGUAUGGGAUUUUCUUAGUAUAUUCAGCUAACGUAUCAUACGAUUGCAGAGUUCAGGCUUCCGUUUUCUAAUAGCUAUUUAUGAUCACCAUCCUUCCCUCUAACCAAAGAUGGAUAAGAGGGCAGACGGAAGAAUUAGAAAAAACAACUUAUAAACUUUGGCAUAUGGGUAACGAGAACAGAAAUGUAGUAGGAAUAUUAUUGUUGGUUUGAAGGACGAGUUGGUAGAAGUUAAAUGGGUUGUAGAUACGAUUAUAUUAAUGCUUGGAGAAGAGUUGUUUACAUUAGUUAGUAUAAACACUCCAGAAAAAAAAUAUAUAGAUAGAUUAAUUUAGGCAAUUGGUGAUCAAAAUGAGAUCCCUGUUGGAAGAAAUUAAAUGGUUAUGUAGGAAACUGGAACCUAGGAUAUUGAAGAGUACAUGAAAAAUUUGUCUUUGGAUAUGAAGAAGGUAAACUAUGUUGGAAUUGGGAUGACUUACGGCUUGGUCUUAGCAAUUACGUGUCUCAUUAGUGGUACCAUUCCAUUGCCCUUGUCUACUUGAAAUGAAAGUUGGAGCAUGUUCAUGCUGCAGGAGUGGAAGAAAGUUGGGUGCAUUGUUCUCAGAUUGUAACGUUGUUUUUGUUUAGAGCCC